GAUGAACGCUGGCGGCGUGCCUAAUACAUGCAAGUCGAGCGAACAGAUGAGGAGCUUGCUCCUUUGACGUUAGCGGCGGACGGGUGAGUAACACGUGGAUAACCUACCUAUAAGACUGGGAUAACUUCGGGAAACCGGAGCUAAUACCGGAUAACAUAUUGAACCGCAUGGUUCUAUAGUGAAAGAUGGUUUUGCUGUCACUUAUAGAUGGAUCCGCGCCGCAUUAGCUAGUUGGUAAGGUAACGGCCUACCAAGGCAACGAUUCGUAGCCGACCUGAGAGGGGGGUCCGCCACACUGGGACUUGGACACCGGCCAAACUCCUACGGGGGGGCACCGGUAGGAAUCCUCCCGCAUGGGCGGAAACCUGAAGGGACCACGGCGCCGUGAGUGAUGAAGUGUUCCGACCGUAAAACCCUGUUAAUUGGGGAAGAACAAAUGUUAAGUUAAUGGGCACGUCUUGACGGUCCCUGAACCGCAAAGCACCGCUAAACACCUG
rnacentral:rRNA from 1 species